rnacentral:rRNA from 1 species
UACGUAGGGUGCAAGCGUUAUCCGGAAUUAUUGGGGUCGUAAAAGAGCUCGUAGGCGGUUUGUCGCGUCUGCUGUGAAAACUGGAGGCUCAACCUCCAGCCUGCAGUGGGUACGGGCAAACUAGAGUGCGGUAGGGGAGAUUGGAAUUCCUGGUGUAGCGGUGGAAUGCGCAGAUAUCAGGAGGAACACCGAUGGCGAAGGCAGAUCUCUGGGCCGUAACUGACGCUGAGGAGCGAAAGCGUGGGGAGCGAACAGG